rnacentral:lncRNA from 1 species
CCAAAGUGCACAGUUGUGCUUUUCAUAGUGUUGCUGCUUGGUAACUAGUAUCUAUUCUAACAGGCAAAGCGUCGCAGCACCUUCAGAGAGCAGUAGCGUGUUCCCUUUGAUCCUUGCUUCACCUUUUCAACACAGCUGCACAGCAAGAGAAUUUUCAACAAAAAAAACAGAAAGCUGUGUGGCUUUUGGCUGCUGACACAACCACAGGGUCCCUCCUCAGAAGUUCCUGUGAUGAAGAUGGUUCAGUUCUGCACCAUGAAGGCACAACACCAGCACAGCGCAAUGGGGCGACUAGGCCUCCUUGGGGACCGAAACGUGUCUCACAUAGGAGCUACGACAACCUGCAGCUCCCCUGGUUCUGCCCCCAAGGAUCACUCUGCAAAACAGACAGAAGCCCCAACAGCUCAGCAAUAAUUUCCCCCCCACCCAAAUACAAUAGCGUAUUUUUUUCACAAGUGUUUAGCAAAUGUAACCUCUGUGUUUUAUAACUUACAUUCAUUGAUCAAACUGAUGUGUUUCUCUUUUGGACAAAUAGUCAUUACAUCUGAAAGUUUACAACUAGGCUUUGAAGUUAAUGUUCACUGAGAUGAAGGAGAAAGUUCACACUUCUAUUGUUUCCAUCCCCUUUGGCUGCAGACCAGAUAAGACAGUAAUGUAUUAAAUUUACAAGUGAUGACUAUUUUUGCAGCCAGAAAAGCCAAAAACAUCUUAAAAGAAUAAUGGCUUGAAUUCUGUAGUGCUCAGCAAAAUGCUGCAAAAGGAGGGAAAUGAAUCCAGGAAAUCUAUGAAUGUUUCAUAAUUGUUAAUUUCUCUGUUUACUAGUUUAACCUCAUCUGCCUUCCACAUAGGGUGCGUCGCCCUUCCUCAGAUUUUGCUGCUAUUGCUACCACGUUUCCUUGUGUCGCCCACAGCUGUUAUUCCCCACAAGAAAUCCGUGGAGAAGGAUGGCCACUGCGGCCAAAAGCCAGUAAGACAAAGAUCUUUCCUCUGGUAUUAACAGCUCCCUCUCUCUAAUUCUUCUUAAAUAAGUAAAGGAGAUGUUAAAUUUACAACAUACUUUGCUAACAGCCAAGAGAAAGUUGGAGGGUGUUAAAACAUCCAACUCCUUCGUGCUGGUUUGGGAAUCCCAGCCUCUGAGUGACUUUUUCGAGCCCUUCUUCCUAUCCUGGUGUUAGCUAAAACCGGGGAAAAUCCGCCAGCGGCCGAACAGGUCUGCCUGGGGGCCCAGCAGCCGUGCCGGGGGCUUGCCAUCACCGCCUGCCCUGCGCGCUGGGCAGGAGCCUGGGAACAGGCGCCUUGGGCCGUGGGCAGCGCCAUGCCUGCCGUCACCUCGGCCUCGGGGACACCGGGAGGGCACAUUUCCAUCGCCCUGUGCCCCCGGUGUAUCUACGUGUGAGGAAUAAGGAGAUUAAAAAACAGGGAGCCAGGAAACUGCCCAGUGCUAGCCAUGAGAUCCCAUAAAGCGGACGAGCCAAAACGUGGCAUUUU